GGGGAAUAUUGCACAAUGGGCGCAAGCCUGAUGCAGCCAUGCCGCGUGUAUGAAGAAGGCCUUCGGGUUGUAAAGUACUUUCAGUAGGGAGGAAGGUGGUUAAGUUAAUACCUUAAUCAUUUGACGUUACCUACAGAAGAAGCACCGGCUAACUCCGUGCCAGCAGCCGCGGUAAUACGGAGGGUGCAAGCGUUAAUCGGAAUUACUGGGCGUAAAGCGCAUGCAGGUGGUUUGUUAAGUCAGAUGUGAAAGCCCUGGGCUCAACCUAGGAAUCGCAUUUGAAACUGACAAGCUAGAGUACUGUAGAGGGGGGUAGAAUUUCAGGUGUAGCGGUGAAAUGCGUAGAGAUCUGAAGGAAUACCGGUGGCGAAGGCGGCCCCCUGGACAGAUACUGACACUCAGAUGCGAAAGCGUGGGGAGCAAACAGGAUUA
rnacentral:rRNA from 1 species